rnacentral:rRNA from 1 species
CCUACGGGAGGCAGCAGUGGGGAAUAUUGGGCAAUGGAGGAAACUCUGACCCAGCGACGCCGCGUGCGGGAUGAAGGCCUUCGGGUUGUAAACCGCUUUCAGUAGGGAAGAAGCGAAAGUGACGGUACCUACAGAAGAAGCACCGGCUAACUAUGUGCCAGCAGCCGCGGUAAUACAUAGGGUGCAAGCGUUGUCCGGAAUUAUUGGGCGUAAAGAGCUCGUAGGUGGUUCGUCACGUCGGAUGUGAAAAUCUGGGGCUCAACCCCAGACCUGCAUUCGAUACGGGCGAUCUAGAGUGUGGUAGGGGAGACUGGAAUUCCUGGUGUAGCGGUGGAAUGCGCAGAUAUCAGGAGGAACACCAAUGGCGAAGGCAGGUCUCUGGGCCAUUACUGACACUGAGGAGCGAAAGCGUGGGGAGCGAACAGGAUUAGAUACCCUGGUAGUCCACGCCGUAAACGGUGGGCACUAGUUGUGGGAACCUUCCACGGUUUCUGCGACGCAGCUAACGCAUUAAGUGCCCCGCCUGGGGAGUACAAUCGCAAGNUUAAAACUCAAAUGAAUUGACGGCUGAGAGNGCGACGACGACGACGAGGGAGAGG